rnacentral:tRNA from 1 species
GCGGGUGUCGUAUAGUGGCUAUUAUGUGUCCUUGCCAAGGACAAGACGGCAGUUCGAUUCUGCUCACCCGCU